rnacentral:sRNA from 1 species
UAGUACACAACGGCACACAUCGUUGGCCAUAAGGUUAAGCUGUUUUCAUCACACUCCCACUGAAUGAGCCGGCAGCCGGCAGGCGGUGCCAUCAAAGUCAAAGUGCUGCAAAUUAGAUUUUUAUGUUAAUUAAAAAGGUACGCACACAUUGGAGCACACAUUUUCCCGGGCUACCAAAACACACACACAGGCGUUUUCCGAACUCGACUAAGUUUGGGCAAAUCAAUUGGUUGGAAAUGAUCUUAAUUCGCUUAAGAAAAUUCACCAGGCAGCAGACAAAUCGAUGAUUGAGUGAGUGAUGCACUGAAGAUUGAGUCAUUGACUGAAUCUCAAGAGCAAGUCAUCGACUGGUGACUGCUGACUGGCGACAGGUGAAAAGCGAAAGUGCCCCAUGUGGCAGGGAAAUCAGGGGGAGUUGUGGGAGCCUCGCAGAUAAGAGGGAUGCAGACUGGGGCUUGAUGCUGAAGCCGAAAGCUGAAAACUGUAAGCUGAGGUGCUGCCUCGCGCAUUUUUCGAUUUUGCAUUGCAUACUUUUUGGCUGAACGCGUCGCUGCCUGGCAUCGUUGAAUGUGCUGGUGAAGAAGGGGACGGACGCAAAGAGCUGGGCCCCAAAAAUCCUUGCCCCACUCGAAUGCGAAUGCUACGCAUGAAAGCGUUGCAAGUCAGCAACGCGAACGAAGAGAAAUGGCCAAAACGACCAAAGCACAACGAAAAUGCCAAGCAGCGGCGAACAGAAAUAAUAAAAAAUUCGGAGUAAGGGAGCCAGCCAAGAGAUAGCAAUGCACAGGGAGAAAACUAUUGGUAAUUGCA